CAAUAGAUCACUUUGCAAAAAUCGACAUUACGAGAAGUGAGCUGUUCGAUUGGCUCGCAAACGGCAACUGGCGGUAUUAUGCUCUGCUUGUCACCCUUCAAUUGGCCCCCCCACCACACAACGCCAGACAACAAAGGGGAACAUUCAUAUAACAUCCGAACAGGUGCAUUAUGACGACGAACGUAAGCGUGUAGUGGCCGAACCAGUGGAGUUGUCACAGUAAUUCCGCAAGUUCGACCUCUCGAAUCCGUGGGAACUGUUCCCCAACUACCGAGAUGCUCCCCCAGCAGCCGAAGAAAUUCCCAUCAAUACUGAGUCCAAGAAGUAGACGUUCCCGACCCCAUCAAAUGUUUCAGUAAGUAUAUAAAUACUAUGUUAUGUUACUACAAACAUAAAAAAAUAUUAGAAAAUCA